rnacentral:rRNA from 1 species
AGGUAAGCUACUAAGAGCGAAUGGUGGAUGCCUUGACUGGUAAAGGCGAUGAAGGACGUACUAGACUGCGAUAAGCUACGGGGAGCUGUCAAGAAGCUUUGAUCCGUAGAUUUCCGAAUGGGGCAACCCAAUGUAUAGAGAUAUACAUUACCUAUAUAGGAGCGAACGAGGGGAAUUGAAACAUCUUAGUACCCUCAGGAAAAGAAAUCAAUAGAGAUUGCGUCAGUAGCGGCGAGCGAAAGCGCAAGAGGGCAAACCCAGUGCUUGCACUGGGGGUUGUAGGACUGCAAUGUGCAAGAGCUGAGUUUAGCAGAACAUUCUGGAAAGUAUAGCCAUAGAGGGUGAUAGUCCCGUAUGCGAAAAACAAAGCUUAGCUAGCAGUAUCCUGAGUAGGGCGGGACACGAGGAAUCCUGUCUGAAUCCGGGUCGACCACGAUCCAACCCUAAAUACUAAUACCAGAUCGAUAGUGCACAAGUACCGUGAGGGAAAGGUGAAAAGAACUGAGGUGAUCAGAGUGAAAUAGAACCUGAAACCAUUUGCUUACAAUCAUUCAGAGCACUAUGUAGCAAUACAGUGUGAUGGACUGCCUUUUGCAUAAUGAGCCUGCGAGUUGUGGUGUCUGGCAAGGUUAAGCAAACGCGAAGCCGUAGCGAAAGCGAGUCUGAAUAGGGCGCUUAGUCAGAUGCUGCAGACCCGAAACGAAGUGAUCUAUCCAUGAGCAAGUUGAAGCUAGUGUAAGAACUAGUGGAGGACUGAACCCAUAGGCGUUGAAAAGCCCCGGGAUGACUUGUGGAUAGGGGUGAAAGGCCAAUCAAACUUCGUGAUAGCUGGUUCUCUCCGAAAUAUAUUUAGGUAUAGCGUUGUGUCGUAAUAUAAGGGGGUAGAGCACUGAAUGGGCUAGGGCAUACACCAAUGUACCAAACCCUAUCAAACUCCGAAUACCUUAUAUGUAAUCACAGCAGUCAGGCGGCGAGUGAUAAAAUCCGUCGUCAAGAGGGAAACAACCCAGACUACCAGCUAAGGUCCCUAAAUCUUACUUAAGUGGAAAACGAUGUGAAGUUACUUAAACAACCAGGAGGUUGGCUUAGAAGCAGCCAUCCUUUAAAGAAAGCGUAAUAGCUCACUGGUCUAGUGAUUUUGCGCGGAAAAUAUAACGGGGCUAAAGUAAGUACCGAAGCUGUAGACUUGCGCACAACUUAGAUUAUUUAAGUUUAGAAUAUGAGAAACUAAGUUAUGUUUAGUUAUAUUUUUACUGAUUUUUAUAGAGUAAAGAUAGAAAUAAAACUUAGUAAAAUCAGUAAAAAUAUUCUUAGGCUAAAGUUAAGUAGUUUAAGUUGUGUGCAAGUGGUAGGAGAGCGUUCUAUUUGCGUCGAAGGUAUACCGGUAAGGAGUGCUGGAGCGAAUAGAAGUGAGCAUGCAGGCAUGAGUAGCGAUAAUUAAUG